AUGCCUGGUAAGAAGAUACGCCAAUGUCAAGGAAAACCAUUGAAACUCAAUCAAAGUUGCAAACAAACAGGAAUACAGCACAAGUGAUUUUACCAUUUAGGUGUCUCUACCAUGGCUGGGAAGAAAAAGAAAUAUCACUUCAUUGGUGGACGUGUACCAGCAAUGGUGUUGGCCCUGCAGAGCUGUCAUCAGUCUCUUCAGGAAAAUUCAAAAUGAACUGGGGGAUGACCUUUUACACUUCGCUACAGCUGAAACUGAUGGCACUGAUUCCCUAGAACGAUAUUGUGGAAAGUGUGAACCCCCCUUUCUGUUUUAUUAGUGGAGGUGACCUGGUGGCUGUAGUGUGAGGGAAAACAGUCCUGGAGCAGCUGACAGUGGAGAAGAAAUUGCUGGAGCAGGGCACCGAGUGAUGAAAUCCUAGAGCAGGUGCAGGAAGAAGGUUUCAUGAUAUCCCAAAUGAAGGAGACGGUCCUGUCCUGGGAGAUGGCCGAAGAGUUCUACAACCAGCAC